rnacentral:tRNA from 1 species
GGAGGUAUGACUCAAGAAAGAGAGUAUCCAUUUAUCAAGGAUAAGAUCCUGAGUUCAAAUCCCAGUACUGCCA